rnacentral:tRNA from 1 species
GCGCCUGUAGCUCAAUUGGAUAGAGUUCCAGACUUCGAAUCUGGCGGUUGGGGGUUCGAGCCCCUCCAGGCGCG